CGGAGGGUGCAAGCGUUAUCCGGAUUCACUGGGUUUAAAGGGUGCGUAGGUGGGUUGGUAAGUCAGUGGUGAAAUCCCCCGAGCUUAACUUGGGAACUGCCAUUGAUACUAUCAGUCUUGAAUACCGUGGAGGUCAGCGGAAUAUGUCAUGUAGCGGUGAAAUGCUUAGAUAUGACAUAGAACACCAAUUGCGAAGGCAGCUGGCUACACGAAUAUUGACACUGAGGCACGAAAGCGUGGGGAUCAAACAGGAUUAGAUACCCUGGUAGUCCACGCCCUAAACUAUGGAUACUCGACAUACGCGAUACACUGUGUGUGUCUGAGCGAAAGCAUUAAGUAUCCCACCUGGGAAGUACGAUCGCAAGAUUG
rnacentral:rRNA from 1 species